rnacentral:tRNA from 1 species
AUUACUUUGGCAGAAAAGUGCACUAGAUUUAGAAUCUAGGUAUGAGUUACGCAACUCAAGUAAUA